CCUUUCGGGGUGGAUUAGUGGCGAACGGGUGAGUAACACGUGGGCAAUCUGCCCUUCACUCUGGGACAAGCCCUGGAAACGGGGUCUAAUACCGGAUAAUACUUCUGCCUGCAUGGGUGGGGGUUGAAAGCUCCGGCGGUGAAGGAUGAGCCCGCGGCCUAUCAGCUUGUUGGUGGGGURAUGGCCUACCAAGGCGACGACGGGUAGCCGGCCUGAGAGGGCGACCGGCCACACUGGGACUGAGACACGGCCCAGACUCCUACGGGAGGCAGCAGUGGGGAAUAUUGCACAAUGGGCGAAAGCCUGAUGCAGCGACGCCGCGUGAGGGAUGACGGCCUUCGGGUUGUAAACCUCUUUCAGCAGGGAAGAAGCGCAAGUGACGGUACCUGCAGAAGAAGCGCCGGCUAACUACGUGCCAGCAGCCGCGGUAAUACGUAGGGCGCAAGCGUUGUCCGGAAUUAUUGGGCGUAAAGAGCUCGUAGGCGGCUUGUCACGUCGGAUGUGAAAGCCCGGGGCUUAACCCCGGGUCUGCAUUCGAUACGGGCUAGCUAGAGUGUGGUAGGGGAGAUCGGAAUUCCUGGUGUAGCGGUGAAAUGCGCAGAUAUCAGGAGGAACACCGGUGGCGAAGGCGGAUCUCUGGGCC
rnacentral:rRNA from 1 species